rnacentral:rRNA from 1 species
UUUGAACUUAAGCAUAUCAAUAAGCGGAGGAAAAGAAACUAACAAGGAUUCCCCCAGUAACGGCGAGUGAAGAGGGAACAGCCCAAAUUUGUAAUCUGGCCCCUUUGGGGUCCGAGUUGUAAUCUCGAGAACUGUUUUCCGCGCCGGACCAUGUACAAGUCUGUUGGAAUAUAGCUUCAUAGAGGGUGAGAAUCCCGUACAUGACAUGGACUACCGGUGCUUUGCGAUACAGUCUCUAAGAGUCGAGUUGUUUGGGAAUGCAGCUCAAAUUGGGUGGUAAAUUCCAUCUAAGGCUAAAUAUUGGCGAGAGACCGAUAGCGAACAAGUACCGUGAGGGAAAGAUGAAAAGCACUUUGGAAAGAGAGUUAACAGUACGUGAAAUUGUUGAAAGGGAAACGCUUGAAGUCAGCCUUGUUCUUGGUUGUUCAGCCCUCCGUGGCGUAUUCAACUUUGAGCAGGCCAGCAUCAGUUUUGGGUGCUGGAUAAGGGCUUAGGAAAUGUGGCAGCCUUGGCUGUGUUAUAGUCCUUUGCUUGAUACAGCGCUCCGGGACUGAGGAAUGCAGCGAGCCUUUUGGCGGGUCCAUUUAUGGACCUUCUCGCUUUGGAUGCUGGCGUAAUGGCUUUAAACGACCCGUCUUGAAACACGGACCAAGGAGUCUAACAUGCUUGCGAGUAUUUGGGUGGCAAACCCGGAUGCGUAAUGAAAGUGAAUGAAGGUGGGAACCGCAAGGUGCACCAUCGACCGGUCCGGAUUUUUAAUGAUGGAUCCGAGUAAGAGCAAGCACGUUGGGACCCGAAAGAUGGUGAACUAUGCCUGAAUAGGGUGAAGCCAGAGGAAACUCUGGUGGAGGCUCGUAGCGGUUCUGACGUGCAAAUCGAUCGUCGAAUUUGG